rnacentral:lncRNA from 1 species
UCACUCUCCUUGGCCCCAUGCCUGGGGCACCCUCAUAGACUCUACUCUUUUCUUACUGCUGUUCCAGAGUCCUGCUGCUGUUCUAGCUGUGGAGAAACGGUGGGGGUUGUGUCUGUGCUGAUGGCAGCCACGACUUGUUCUCCAGUUGCUUUCUGUGACAGUGGAUGUCCCUGUAAUGAACAAACCUCCUCCGGCUCUGGAUCGGUCAGCUUGAAAGGAGAAUCCAGCCAACGGGAGCAGGACCAUCCAGAGCGGAGAUGGAGGCAAUCAGCCCCAGGGAACACAGAUCCAGGUGGCUGCUUUUCAGAUGCCCAAGGGCUGGACCUGCAGUCUUUGGGCCACACAGGCCUGAUGCUUCUGCCUUGCUGUCCCAUCUCUCCAUGUCUUAGGGCCAUAUCACCGGUCCUCUGCACCUUCGCCGAUGGGAGGAAAGGACCUGAAAGCUCGCUUCGGUCAGAUAAGUUGGCAGGAAUCUGCAUGAUCAGAGAUAACUGAGCCUUUGCCAAGCUGUCCAUCAAGUGCUACUUCGGCACAAAGCAGCUGAGCCCGGGGCAGACAGAAGCAGCCGUGAAGAAAUGACAGUCAUGCAAGGCUUUUAUUUCUCAUGCCCUUGGCUAUGGAGCACAACAGUGGUGCAGACAGGCCGACCGGACCCUGCUGAAGUGUCCCGAGGUAGUCCCCGGCUUGGGUCUGGCUUUGGGAAGUCGGCUUACUUUGCAGAAUAAUAAUAAUGCUAGUAUUUGUUAAGCUCUUACUGUGUAAGCUCCUUGUGAGGAGGGAUCACUAGUAAUAGAAAUGAGAGUGGACCAUGUAGUAUAAUGCAAAAUGAAAUAAUUCAUGUGAACUUAGCAAACAUUCUCCAGUGCAUGAGUUAAGUUGAGCAAGAGAUGAUUUCUCAAUCAUGACUGAUGAAACUAUAUUAGCCAAAUUGAACCAGCUUCUUCUGUGUGGAGAGAUCAUUUAUAGGGUGCGCAAUAUGGAAGAUUUCUUGACUUCCAUCCUGCGGAGUUCUUUCGUGCAAAAUUUAUCCUUUGGUUCAUAAAGAGCACAUUGUCAGAG